UUUCCGAGGCUUUGCAUUGCAUUGGGAAGUCUCAUCUCUUCAUCUGUGGUCUUGAUUGGCUUUCUGGUUGUGUUAGGAGUCCAAGGGUGAGUCCUUGUCCUGUUGGAAUUUAGUAGUCAGGCAGGUGGGCAUAUCUGUAACUGAUUGUUUCCACCUGCCUUUUGAUUUCACUGUAUCCCAAUAACAGCAGUAAUAAAUUUAGAGUAAUAUUGGGACAUACUAUUUCCCCAAAGGCUUGUAGUCCUAUUUGAGUG
rnacentral:lncRNA from 1 species